ACAGAACAAUAAAACUGUCCAAAAUUCACUGGCUAGUCGAUGAACAGACAGGUGUAGAGAGUGUGCUACAUGACGGGCAAGUUUUUCUGCUAACACCACAAGGGUCUUUGGCCCAAUGAGUGGAAUUUGAUAGUAAUUCUUGCUACAAAU